CUCCAGUCAGACUUAUCGGGAAUAUUAAGUAUGGCUUCGCUGGCCAGGACCUCCCUGAAGAAAGAGCACAAAGAAGUCAAAAUGGAAACUAUCAGCCUGAGCUCUCCUCAACAUCACCCAAAGAAGGUUUGUUUUGGCUCUGGGAAAUCAGAAAUGCUCUCAAAGAAGUGGGAAAAACAACCUACUUUUCUGGAGUCACCAAAGCUGCUGAAACCUUGCAGUCAGAGAGAAGAGAAGAUCUGAAUGCUCAACUGGGCAAGAGAAACACUUAUCAGGCAGGCCAGGAAUAUCAACCUUCCACCAAAUAGG